AGGAUUAACGCUGGCGGCGUGCCUAACACAUGCAAGUCGAACGAGGGGGGCAACCCCCGAGUGGCAGACGGGUGAGUAACGCGUGGUCAACCUACCCUAGAGUGGGGAAUAACUAGCCGAAAGGUUAGCUAAUACCGCAUGAUACGUUUUGGGACAUCCCAGGACGUUGAAAGGAGCAAUCCGCUCGAGGACGGGACCGCGUCCGAUUAGCUAGUUGGUGAGGUAACGGCCCACCAAGGCUCCGAUCGGUAGCUGGUUUGAGAGAGCGACCAGCCACACUGGGACUGAGAAACGGCCCAGACUCCUACGGGAGGCAGCAGUGAGGAAUUUUCCGCAAUGGGCGAAAGCCUGACGGAGCGACGCCGCGUGUGGGAGAAGGCCUUCGGGUCGUAAACCACUGUCGAAGGGGACUAGUACUGAAGGUACCCUUGGAGGAAGCCCGGCAACUACGUGCCAGCAGCCGC
rnacentral:rRNA from 1 species